CCCCCGCAUUCCGCUCCCCGAUCUGGACGCCCACGGACCCGAGCCGGCGCCCUUCGUCGCCGUCGCCGGACCUCGCCGUCGUUGCCUCACCUCGCCCCCGAGCCGGGCCCGACCUGCACCAUCCUCCCCUUCUUCCUCUACGCCAAUCCACGACGACCCGGACGCCCCCACGACGCCGCUCCGAGCUCGACUUCUUCCUCAGGACGCCGGUCGCCGUCGCCAACGUCGGUCGCCUCUGCAGCUCCUAAACCCCUCGAAGUGCCUCCUUGAGCUCCCUUGAUGUUGGAGCCCAGGAUCCAGAUGCCACCGUCGACGACGACUCCUACUACACCGGAGGUGCCUACUACUACGUGCUGCCCGCUGACGACGACCAGGAGUAGUUAGGAGGAUCCCAGGCAAGAGGCCUGCGCCUCUUCUGAUCUGUAUACCAGUUUGUGCUAGCCUUCUUAAGGAAACUUGUUUAACUUAUGUCUGUACUCAGAUAUUGUUGCUUC